AUUUGUAAUUGUUUAAUCUUAGCAAUGUUCGAACGUUAUCUGGUAGUUUUACUCAUGCAAGUCUUAAAAAUAGAAAUAUUUUUAGGGCGCGCGGGCGAGGAUUAAGAAAUAGAUACCCUUGAAGAUUGAAUCUUCUUGGAUUUGUUUCUUAUUCUGUAGGUAGUUGUUGUGGUAAUGGCGCAACAAGCCGUUGACAGAUAGAAAUGAGCGAAAGCUUCUAUUUCCGCAAUUGGUUUUAAUAGACCGAUCGGUCAGCAUACUGGCCGCUGCAGAGGAGAAUAUUGGGCAAUGCUCGAAAGAGUGACCCAGCUAACCAGAACUCGAAGUAUAGUAGAGUGUCGUAAGGGAGGAUGAUGACGUUACCUUACUAUAAGUCCAAUCUAAGUCUCGUGCCAGCAGACGCGGUUAUACGAACUGGGCAAACGUUGAAUAAAUUAAUAGGUUUUAAGGAUCUGUAGGUGGCAGGGAAAUUAUUUCCUAGCUAGAAUCUUAUAGAGGAUAGUAGAAUGCUAGAAGUAGGGAUGAUAUCCGUUGAGAUCUAGUGGAAUACUAAUGGCGAAAGCAACUAUCCAGGUAAAGAUUGACGCUGAGAGAUGAAAGUUUGGGGAUCAAAACAGAUUAGCUACCUGAGUAGUCCAAACCGUAAACGAUUUACACUUAUUCUUUGGUUAAAUAUAGAAAAUCAGAGGAAAAGCGAAAGGCUGUAUGUGUAACACCUUGUUAGUACUGUCUCAAGACUGAAAGCAAAAAGAUUAGACCAUCCUUAAGAACCGGUGUGGAGCAUGUUGUUUAAUACGACAAUACGCGUAGAACCUUACCUCUCCUUGUAUGUUUUAGUAAUUUAGAAAUAAAUUACUAAUUCACAGGUGUUGCAUGGCUGUCGGCAGUUCGUGUCGUAAGAUGUUAGGUUAAGUCCGAAAACGAACGCAACCCUUUGCCUAGGUGUUUACCCUAGAUUAUUACUUCGAUAGGAAGAAUGAAAGAGGAAUACGACAAGCCUUCAUGACCCUUAUGGAGUAUGGGCUACAGACGUGCUACUUGAAUCUUACAAUAAGAUGCAAAAUCGUGAGAUUUAGCAAAUCUAUGAAAUAAGAUCGAAUAAGGAUUGUAGACUGAAAUUCGUCUACAUGAAUCAGGAAUACCGAGUAAUCGUCUAUUAGUACGGGACGGUGAACCUUUCUAUUAAGGAGAUACUAACUGUCUAUCACAUCUUGGUUUUAAUUUGAAGUAGAACCUUCCUGAAACGAAAGUUUCUGGUUGGGAUAUUAGAAUUGGAACUGAGGUGAAGUUAUAGCAAGGUAGCCGUAAGGGAACUUGCGGCUGAUUGAUAAUAAAU
rnacentral:rRNA from 1 species